AGAGUAAUCUAGUAUUGGAAGGUUAUUCUGCUAUUUCUAUUCUCUUCAUUUUUUAGACGAUUUUUACAAGUCAGAAAUGUAGAACUUUCUGGGUCUCUCUAUUUCGUCUUUGAAAUAGUCCCGUAGCUCAGUUGGUUAGAGCACUACACUGAUAAUGUAGGGGUCAGCAGUUCAAAUCUGUUCGGGACUACUUUAGUUCAGUUCAAUUUGAAUUGUUUUUGUUCUUUAUUAGACAUAAGGUUAUACCUAUACUACCUUUAGGUAGAGCUUUUAAAAUGAGGUAUUAAUCUGGAGUUUUAGAAGUUGAGUAUACCACAUGGGGGAUUAGCUCAGCUGGCUAGAGCGUCUGCCUUGCACGCAGAAGGUCAUCGGUUCGACUCCGAUAUUCUCCACAGAUGUAGUUGGUUAUCUAUAAUUCAGCCGAUUGUUUUCAAUCAAUUUUAUAGAUAGAUGCUACACACUAAACUCGAAUGUGAGUUUUGUUAGGUUCUUUGACAUAUUGGAAGUAAAAUAAAACUAAUAA
rnacentral:tRNA from 1 species